UUCUACUGUCAUGUGACCAGUUGUCUCUGCUACUGUCAUGUGACCACAGGUGUCGCUGCUACUGUCAUGUGACCACAGGUGUCUCUGCUACUGUCAUGUGACCACAGGUGUCUCUUCUACUGUCUUGUGACCACAGGUGUCGCUGCUACUGUCAUGUGAUCACAGGUGUCUCUGCUACUGUCAUGUGACCACAGGUGUCGCUGCUACUGUCAUGUGACCACAGGUGUCUCUUCUACUGUCUUGUGACCACAGGUGUCGCUGCUACUGUCAUGUGACCACAGGUGUCUCUGCUACUGUCAUGUGACCACAGGUGUCUCUGCUACUGUCAUGUGACCACAGGUGUCUCUUCUACUGUCUUGUGACCACAGGUGUCUCUGCUACUGUCAUGUGAUCACAGGUGUCUCUGCUACUGUCAUGUGAUCACAGGUGUCUCUGCUACUGUCAUGUGAUCAGUUGUUUCUGCUACUAGGUACUGUCUGUGAACAUACGGGUCGUUUAAACCUCUCUUCCUAAACCUGCUCUGGCUAAAGGCAGCAGCAACACAUUCUUUCAUUGUCUAAAUUGGUGCAAUUGUGCUUUCUUGCAACCACAUUGGAUAAUUGUUUUUUCACAAGACAUCUGGAUGAGACUUCUGGACCCUAAACUCAUGGAGAUGGAGAGGGCCCAUAGGAAUGGCACUUUCUGCCCCGAUGGACGGGCCAGAUCUAUAGUGGUGAAACUGCUCAGGUUCAAAGACCAGGAGGACAUUCUCAGGGGAGCCAAGUGCCUGAAGGGAACCAACAUCUUCAUCAAUGAAGACUUCUCUAAAAAGGGUCUUCUCUAAAAAGGUACUCCUCAAAGGAAAGGAACUGCUGCCACGAGCUGAGAACGAAAGGCAACGUCACAUAGCUGAAGUAUGAUCAGUUGGUCGUUCACACCCCUCUCGUAUGCCAAUGGAAAGUGACUCUGCUAUAGUCCACUGACUUGACACACACACACACACAUUUACUCUACUCUACUUUGUUCAUGUGUUUCACCUAACCUCAUGACCAAAAACACACAGAACCCUCUGAAGUCUUCAGAGAUGUUAUGUGGACUGUGUCAAUGUGCGUUCCGUAGGAAGUGCAUCUCUAUUGAUGAAACUAACACUAAUGUGUGGUUGUAAUGGACAUGUGAGGCGCACACUUCUGUUUCUGUUCCACUCUCUGGAUGAUUCCCACUGUGUAUCUCUCUUAGUUGGGCAGGAUAUCAAUCUUGGUAACAUGGUCCUUAACCUGUUAGAUAUUAAUGAAGCCAAGGAUAUCAAUCCUGAUAACAUGGUCCUUAACCUGUUAAUGAAGCCAAGGAUAUCAACCCUGGUAACAUGGUCCUUAACCUGUUAGAUAUUAAUGAAGCCAAGGAUAUCAACCCUGGUAACAUGGUCCUUAACCUGUUAGAUAUUAAUGAAUCCAAGGAUAUCAACCCUGAUAACAUGGUCCUUAACCUGUUAGAUAUUAAUGAAUCCAAGGAUAUCAACCCUGAUAACAUGGUCCUUAACCUGUUAGAUAUUAAUGAAUCCAAGGAUAUCAACCCUGGUAACAUGGUCCUUAACCUGUUAGAUAUUAAUGAAGCCAAGGAUAUCAACCCUGGUAACAUGGUCCUUAACCUGUUAGAUAUUAAUGAAGCCAAGGAUAUCAACCCUGGUAACAUGGUCUAUAACUCAUUAGAUAAUAAUGAAGCCAAAGAUAAAUAUAAUGACUGUGUUGAUGUAGAUUCAAAUUUCCCGAAAUGUACCUGAAAUUUGUGAUUUACUAUUACGUUAAGCAAUUUAACAACCUAUAUAGCAAUUUAACUAAUUCCAAGAUAAGGUUUUUUUUAAAAAAAUUUUAUAUAUACUUUUUUUAAUUUGAACAUUCGCUGUCUUCCAAAAAAAAAAAUCACGAUCACCUUGUUCAUUAUCUGUCUUCUCUCAGCCAUGUUCCGUUGUUGCCCUUUCAGAAACAUGGUUGACUGAAGAGAGAACCACGCUUUAUGUCUCCGUUUUAUAAUGCUGUUCACCACCGUAGCACAUCAAGACUGGGAGGAGGUGGGUCUAUUUUUGUUCAUAAAUAUUUUCAAUUCUUUGUAAGAGAGGACCUCGCACUUAAAUCUUAUAACAUUAUUGUUGAAUCUUUUUUUCCUAGAAAUUCCCUCCUGUUUAGUUUUUUUAAAAUUUUUGCUGGUAAAAAAAGUGGUAAUUGGAGACGUCUAUCUGCCACCUGAUUCUGACGUUGGUCAUUUCCUUGAUAUCCUCGCAUCCACCUUCGAUUUGAUUAAUAUUGACGAUAACACGUGUUUUCUAUUGGGUGAUUUACAACAUGCAUUUAUUUCAAAGUGAGAACCACUCACUUGACAUCUGACUUUUUGAAUUGUUUAUACUUCAGCGAUCUGUAUUCCCUCAUCUAUGUGUGGCUCAGUUGGUAGAGCAUGGUGUUUGCAACGCCAGGGUUGUGGGUUCGAUUCCCACGGGGGACCAGUACGGAGAAGAAAAAAAAAAUGUAAUGUAUGCAUUCACUAUUGUAAGUCGCUCUGGAUAAGAACGUCUGCUAAAUGACUAAAAUGUAAAUCUAUAAGCCCAUAGACUGACCAGUUCACCUACCACCCUUAUUGCUAUUUUUUUUUUUACAAAGUCUUUGAAUAAUGUGGCUAAUACAGGUAUACUUUAUACUGA